rnacentral:tRNA from 1 species
GCUGGAGUUGAGCAAUGGUUAGCUCCGCAGACUGUAAAUCUGCCGCCUUUGGCUAUGUAGGUUCGAAUCCUACCUCCAGCACCA